ACAACAUAUCUCAGUUUAUCCUCACAAUAUCUCUGGGAAGUCAAUGCUAUUUUGUUCCCAUUUUAUAGAUGAAGAAAUUGAAGUAGGCAGAAGGCAAGUCACCUGUAGAGAACCACAAGAGAGAUGUGUCCUCUGUGCUUCUCCUCGAGCUGCCUCCUAGCCACCCAUAUUCGGAGCUCUGAGCCUGGUACAGCUUUACCUGAAAGAAAAAGCUUUUGACGAAAUACAACACCCAUUAAUAUUAAGAACACUGGAGAACAUUGGAAUAAAUGGAAGAAUAAUCACUUCUACA
rnacentral:lncRNA from 1 species